AUUCCAGCUCCAAUAGCGUAUAUUAAAGUUGUUGCAGUUAAAAAGCUCGUAGUUGGAUUUCUGGCAGGAGUGACUGACCACAAACUCUGUUUGUGAGUUGUGUCAUUCUGGCCAUCCUUGGUAAGAUCCUUUUUGGCAUUAAGUUGUCGGGAAGGGGAUGACCAUCGUUUACUGUGAAAAAAUUAGAGUGUUUAAAGCAGGCUUAUGCCGUUGAAUAUAUUAGCAUGGAAUAAUAAGAUAGGACUUUGAGUCUAUUUUGUUGGUUUGCGAGUCAAAGUAAUGAUUAAGAGGGACAGUCGGGGGCAUUCGUAUUCCAUUGUCAGAGGUGAAAUUCUUGGAUUUAUGGAAGACGAACAUCUGCGAAAGCAUUUGUCAAGAAUGUUUUCAUUA
rnacentral:rRNA from 1 species